UUUCCUUCUUAUCUAACUUACUACUUUCUCUCUUGUUUUUUUCCUAUUUUUCUUUUCAUCUAAGUAUUUCUACCCUUCCUCCUCCUCCUCCUCCUCUUCUUCCUCAUUUUCCUUGCCGAACACACUGGGGCUAUUCAGUUCAAUCACCCAAAUCGUACAUAUCCGUAUUUCCUAUAGAAGAAUAUACCAUGGGUUGCUAACAUUGCUAAUGAAUGUAUUAUAGAUUGGUACUGUUUUGUUUUGGGAAUAGGCUAUCUCGCGAUUUUUUACAAACGUAGCAUUCGUAUUUGUUGAGUUCUGUGGCUAGUUUGACUUUUUAACUUUUGGGACAGAGAUGUUAGUUUAGAAAUGUAGGGUUCUGUUAGUCACAAAAUUCUUGAUAGAGAUUAUGAGUGUAAAAACAACACAAUCGAAAUGCGACUUCCAGCCAACCAGCGAAAUGACAGUGCCGUGUAGCUAUAUGCGCCAGGCCAUAUUAAGAGGUAUGAGGUAUGGUAGAAUAUUUGUAUAAUGUUAAUUUCUGUUUUCAUAAAAGAAUAUUCGCACAAAUGAAGUUUUCCAUGUUUUUAACCCGGUAGCAGCGACGGGCCAAAUUUGUGGCUUUACCAUGUAGCAGCGACGGGCCAAAUUUGUGGCUUUACCGUGUAGCAGCGACGGGCCAAAUUUGUGGCUUUACCAUGUAGCAGCGACGGGCCAAAUUUGUGGCUUUACCGUGUAGCAGCGACAGGCCAAAUUUGUGGCUUUACCAUGUAGCAGUGACGGGCCAAAUUUGUGGCUUUACCGUGUAGCAGCGACGGGCCAAAUUUGUGCCAUGAUAUAAAAACCCCAAAAUAGAUGAUGCAUAAUCUGAUCACAAAUGCUUUGAUAUAUAUUAUGAAAUGGUUUGUGUGAGGGGUGAUUUUUUUUCAUUUUUCUCGCUUGGAGGGACCAUUAAGAAACAUGAUCCCUGCUGAUACCGGGUUAAGAAAUAUUUAUGAGCUGCCAACUUUUAUCUUUGUAAAGGAUUAUAUAUGUGUGAUAUUUUUCCUACAAGAAUAUUAUCACAAUGACAAUAUGUUUUCCUGCAAGAAUAUGUCUGUAAAGGGACGAUUUCUAUUGUCCUCAAAGAGUAUACGAACGCACUUUUUUCCCGAGAUUACUUUUACAAUGACAACAUAUUUUCCUACAAGAAUAUAUUCGCAAAAGUGACAAUAUCAAUUCCUCUAAAACAAUUUACGAGUGCAGAUUUUCCCUAUUAGAACAUUCGUGAAGUUACAAUUUAUAUUUUCCCAAAAGAAUAUAUUCAAAAAACCAACAAUAUCGAUUUCCCUCAACAAAUUUACGAAUGCAGUUUUUCCCUAUUAGAACAUUCGUGUGGUUACAAUUUAUAUUUUCCUACAUGAAUAUACAUACAAUAAUCAUCCAUUUAUAUAGAAAGAUCAUUCACAAGCUUCGUAAAAGAAUAUCCAUGCAAUAAUAGUUAAUACCUCCCUAUGAGAUUAUACAUAUAUUGCUAUUUUUUUGCUAAUUUCUGACAAAAAUAUAUAGUGACUAUUUUCCUGCAAGAACACACAUUUUCCUUCAAGAACACACAUAUCAACUUCAAUAUUUUCCUGCAAGAACACACAUAUCAACUUCAUAUUUUCCUGCAAGAACACACAUAUCAACUUCAUAUUUUCCUGCAAGAACACACAUAUCAACUUCAAUAUUUUCCUGCAAGAACACACAUAUCAACUUCAAUAUUUUCCUGCAAGAACACACAUAUCAACU